CAUAUACUUCUUCCGUUCCAAAAUUCUUGUCUUAGAUUUAUCUAGAUAUGGAUGUAUCUAACAUUAAGAUGUGAAUAGAUAGAUCCGUCUAUAGACAAAUCUAAGACAAAAUUUUUGGGAUGAAGGGAGUACUUG
rfam:Triticum aestivum genome assembly, contig: Triticum_aestivum_CS42_TGACv1_scaffold_129377_2BL